rnacentral:rRNA from 1 species
UGGCUCAGGACGAACGCUGGCGGCAGGCCUAACACAUGCAAGUCGAGCGGCAGCGGGAAAGUAGCUUGCUACUUUUGCCGGCGAGCGGCGGACGGGUGAGUAAUGCCUGGGAAAUUGCCCAGUCGAGGGGGAUAACAGUUGGAAACGACUGCUAAUACCGCAUACGCCCUACGGGGGAAAGCAGGGGACCUUCGGGCCUUGCGCGAUUGGAUAUGCCCAGGUGGGAUUAGCUAGUUGGUGAGGUAAUGGCUCACCAAGGCGACGAUCCCUAGCUGGUCUGAGAGGAUGAUCAGCCACACUGGAACUGAGACACGGUCCAGACUCCUACGGGAGCAGCAGUAGGAA